rnacentral:lncRNA from 1 species
UCCGAACGAGCAAUGCUCCUGAAGCUGCUGGAGGGGAGGUGGCGCAGCGAUGAUGAGGAGAAGCGCCGGCUUCGUCCUCGCUCCAUCUGCAUGUCCGGCUCAUCACUCGUCGUGGACGGUUGCGCCAUUUCAAUUCGUUUAGCUCUUUUUACGAGCAAAUGUAGGCAAACGUUUUUCAUAUAUAGUGAGAGGCGGAUGCCGCAU